CACUCCCAACCUCCAGGCCCCAUGGCCACUUCCUCCCUCCUGCGAGGACAGCUGGCAACUGGGGUGCAGUACCCUCCCUGCCCCCCGCCCCCUUCUUUGGGCCACACGCUGUGAGAAGGGGUCUAGAUCCUCGAGGGGGGGAUGGCUGCCCUGUGCCGGCUCUGCAGGCACAUGAUAGCCGACUGCCACUGCUGGGGCGAGGAGGGGGGGCCUCUUUCCACCCGACAGAUACCGACACCCAAUAUAGAAACCGAGAAGAGCCAGGCAGGAAAACACAAGCUCUCACCCGUCUGGAGGCUCCGCGGCUUGGCGCCCAGAUAUGCCAGGUUCACGUUGGCCUUGCGGCCGUCGAUGAUGGGGUUCGGGUCUUUGCAAGCCCUCUCAGCUGCCGCCCGGUCGGCCAUGGUCACCUGGUGGAGCAGAGACACAUCAGGGGCUGCCGUGGGGGGAACCAGGGGCGAAAGGGGCAGACGGCUCCGCCCUGGCACCGGAUGCUGCCACCCCUCUCUUCCCUUCCUCUGAGGGUGCCUGUGACCCAGGGUCCUUGAGCCAAAGCUCCUCUGAACCCUACCUGGGGCUCUCCCACAAAGAUGCCUCCUGGAUUCCAGCUCCUCCCGUCAAAGUUCAAGGCCUGGGAAAUGUGGCCUUCAAGGACAAAAAUAAUCCCCUGCGGGGAUAGGGCAAAAAUGAACCCCGAAGGGAGCUUGGGGGGCCGCCUGGACUUGCCCACCAGUGAGGGCCGAGACUUUCCUCUGAGAAGGAGUUUGCGACGCUAUGCUUGGAACCUGAGCGAGGCGUCGGUAGUGUGGCAACCGUCAGGUGCUAAGCAGAACCAUGCUUGGGCCUUCCACACCAGUCAAGGUACUCUCACAGCAAAGCCCCACCGAAGGGGCCCACAGGUUGGAUUCGAGGUACGUGAAGUCCCAAGAGAUGACAUGAAGCCCCAAAUGGAUGCCCUGGCUCCCCAGCACCAGAGGGAAACGCCCCCUCACCGAAGACAGUGGCAAGUGCCAUGCUUCAAGUAACACAGGGAGCGGCCUCCAGUGCACCUGUUUUAGCAGCCAGUCCUGGAGGCAGAAAGAUUUACAAGGGAGUGGAAAGGCUGGCAAACACAGGACACAUGGAGAUGCCCAAAGUCAGUGGGGGUCAGGGUUCAACCUGGAAAUGCAGUCUUCUCAGCUGAGGAAGGCAGUGAGUCCUGGCCAGGAAGCCGGUCCAAGCCCCUGCCUCGUCCCCAGUUCACCUCGUGAAAGCUGAUGAAUGACCAAUGCUUGCAGAGGGGUCUGGAGUAAUGGCGGCACCGUAUUAAGGGGCGAUCAGGCUGUAUCUUGACACUGGGAUUCAUAAGAGGAGGAAGAAACCUAUCAUGCUGACGGGUAGUGAAGAAGAGAAAUGAAAGACAAAAGACACAAGAGAAGGCCAGGUGCAGUGGUUCACUCCUGUAAUCCCAGCUACCUGGGAGGCUGAGACAGGAGAAUCGCCUGAACCCGGGAGGCAGAGGGCGCACUGAGCUGAGAUCACGCCACUGCAGUGCAGCCUGGACGACAGGGCGAGACUCAGUCU
rnacentral:lncRNA from 1 species